AGCAAAAUAAGUCCAAGCAAUCAGAAGAAAAGAAAUAACAAAAGUUAGAGCAGAAAUCAAUGAAAUUGCAAACUGGAAAUCAGUAGAGAAAACUAAUGAAACCAAAGACUGGUUGUUUGAAAAGAUUAAUAAAAUU